UACGGGGGGGGCAAGCGUUGUUCGGAAUUACUGGGCGUAAAGGGUUCGUAGGUGGCCAACUAAGUCAGACGUGAAAUCCCUCAGCUUAACUGGGGAACUGCGUCUGAGACUGGAUGGCUUGAGUGCAGGAGAGGAACGCGGAAUUCCAGGUGUAGCGGUGAAAUGCGUAGAGAUGUGGAGGAACACCGAUGGCGAAGGCAGCCUUCUGGGCCAACACUGACGCUCAUGCACGAAAGCGUGGGGAGCAAACAGG
rnacentral:rRNA from 1 species